rnacentral:rRNA from 1 species
UACAGAGGUCUCAAGCGUUGUUCGGAUUCAUUGGGCGUAAAGGGUGCGUAGGCGGCGCCGGUAAGUCGGGUGUGAAAUCGUCGGGCUUAACUCCGAAACUGCAUUCGAUACUGCCGUGCUUGAGGACUGGAGAGGAGACUGGAAUUCAUGGUGUAGCAGUGAAAAUGCGUAGAGAUCAUGAGGAAGACCAGUGGCGAAGGCGGGUCUCUGGACAGUUCCCUGACACUGAGGCACGAAGGCCAGGGGAGCAAACGGG